CCACUUUGUGAUUCAUGACUGGGGUGAAGUCGUAACAAGGUAACCGUAGGGGAACCUGCGGUUGGAUCACCUCCUUACC
rnacentral:rRNA from 1 species